GACAGAGGUGCCAAGCGUUAGGCGGAAUCACUGGGCUUAAAGCGUGUGUAGGCGGACUUGUAAGUACCUUGUGAAAUCCCACGGCUCACCCGUGGAACUGCUGGGUAUACUGCGAGUCUUGAGCCACUUAGGGGCUGUCGGAACAGGCGGUGGAGCGGUGAAAUGCGUAGAUAUCGCCUGGAACGCCAAAGGUGAAAACAGCUCGCUGGGGGUGUACUGACACUGAGACACGAAAGCCAGGGGAGCAAACGGG
rnacentral:rRNA from 1 species